GGGUCAGGGUCUGGUUUUAGAUGAGACAGGGUCAGGGUCUGGUUUUAGAUGAGACAGGGUCAGGGUCUGGUUUUAGAUGAGACAGGGUCUGGGUCUGGUUUUAGAUGAGACAGGGUCAGGGUCUGGUUUUAGAUGAGACAGGGUCAGGGUCUGGUUUUAGAUGAGACAGGGUCAGGGUCUGGUUUUAGAUGAGACAGGGUCAGGGUCUGGUUUUAGAUGAGACAGGGUCAGGGUCUGGUUUUAGAUGAGACAGGGUCAGGGUCUGGUUUUAGAUGAGACAGGGUCUGGGCCUGGUUUUAGAUGAGAC